rnacentral:lncRNA from 1 species
ACAAGAUAGAAGAAAAUGCAAUAGAAAAGAGAAAGAGAGAAACUAACAAAGUGAAAGAAAUAGAAGGUUUAUACUUGUUAGACGUUCGUUAAUCUUAGAGUCGUUAGUCUUAGAUUUAAUUAGGCAAUGAAACAAUGUGUUGUAAUUUUAAUAAGGAAACUCUAAAAUAAUUUAAAUCAUAGACUCAGAAAGGCAUAAACAACAUGUGUCAUUAUCUUAUACAAAAUUUAAGAAAGAUUAGAAUAUGAGAGGAUCCAAAUCCCUUUGUCUAUUAUAAUUCUCUACUUAUUCAAAGUUACUGUCAACAUUUAUUAUAAGGUUUCAAUUAAAAUGCUUAAACAAAAUUGAUUUUCAAGCAAAUAAACACCUGCUAUUCUAGGAACAAGCGCACCGUGGUCCAGGUAAAAUACUAGGAGUGAUAACUAGAAAAAUGACAUGAAUAUAAAUCACACAUACCUUGGAGUCUGUUUUCGUCAAGAUAUAAAUACUUAAGCUUGGUCGAAUUGCCGAUUUCUUUUGGUAUGUUUCCCGAGAAGUCAUUGAUCGACAAAGACAAUGUUUGUAGAUGUUUGCACCUUAAUAAAGUCGAUGGGAUUUUGCCGUCAAAGUUGUUUUCGUCUAGAAACAGGGUUUGCAAAAGAGGAAGGUUGCUGCAAAUAUUUGCGAGGAGUUCACCUGGGAGUUCACCAAAUAAUAUCUUUAUAUUCAAAAUGAAUAUUUUCUAGUAAAGAAGACUUAAAUAACAUAAAGGAAGGGAUUGGACCGGAGAGGGAUUUAUAGCUAAGAUAAAGUGUUUGAAGUGAAGAUGGUUUCCCAAGUUGAGAAGGAAUGAUGCCUCUUAAGAAAUCAUUUGUUAGCGAUGGCAUAACCAAUUAUAUAAAGAUAAACAGUGAUUUCAUGUCAAAUAUUUUAUGUUGAUGUCACAAAUGCAUAUUAUUAGAAAAGACUACCUGUCAAGUUAUUAACUGACAAAUCCAAAUUCGAUAGAGAAGAAAGAUUGAAGAUUUAUGAAGGAAUGGUUCCAGUUAAGAAAUUAUUUUGUAGCCAUAACUCCUUUAAUUCAGCAAGAUUCCCGAGCUCCUCUGGAAUUUCUCCUAAAAUCCAUGAGUAACAUAUGCGUUAAAUAUUUUAACUUAUUAACCGGCACUCAAGAAGAAAAAAAGGAACUAAAAAACGUUUUUGCGUGAAAAGAGAUAAAAAAUCAAUUUAUGAAAACAUAAAUAAAUAAAGUUUUUGUCAAAUGACGAGAUAAGCAGAACCAAACAUGCUCCAAGGCUAGGAUUUAAUCUAGUUUAGACUUUCCUUUUCAAAAUCAAAACGCUUGCUUUCAUGCCUAAAUAAACGUCUGAACUAAACCGCCAUUAUCACAAAUUGUUGCUUGUUUCUAACUUCUUCUUCUCUACUACUUAUUAUAUCACUAACUUUUAAACUUUUGCCAUAAACAUGAGCAAAGAAGAAACAUUGCAAAUUAAUUCUUAAUUCUUUUACGAAUUUAUGUCUUGGAAUUAGAUUAAAACUGGAUGUGUUAUUGUCAUUGGUAUUCUGCAAUAACAAUUGACAGAUGAAGUAGACAAUAUCAAUUGAACACAAUUUCUAUUUGCAAUCGUCUGAAAUUAAUUUAACUUUACACACAUAUACAUAUUGUUCCAUCUUUCAAAUUCUCCAUCUGAUUUUGGACCCUAGAAAGACAAUUAAAGAAAAGAACAAAAAAAGAAAGUAAAGAAAAACAUCUAAUCUGCUUGAUAGAUUAUCAAUAGUUGUUGAGUGACCACAAAAUAGAAGAAAAUGCAGUGAUCUCACAAAUUAGAAUGUCAAAAUUUGUUGAGCGAUCUCACAAAUUAGAUUAUCAAAAUUUGUUGAGUGAUCUCACAAAUUAGAAUGUCAAAAUUUGUUGAGCGAUCUCACAAAUUAGAUUAUCAAAAUUUGUUGAGUGAUCUCACAAAUUAGAAUGUCAAAAUUUGUUGAGCGAUCUCACAAAUUAGAUUAUCAAAAUUUGUUGAGUGAUCUCACAAAUUAGAAUGUCAAAAUUUGUUGAGCGAUCUCACAAAUUAGAUUAUCAAAAUUUGUUGAGUGAUCUCACAAAUUAGAAUGUCAAAAUUUGUUGAGCGAUCUCACAAAUUAGAUUAUCAAAAUUUGUUGAGUGAUCUCACAAGAUAGAAGAAAAUGCAAUAGAAAAGAGAAAGAGAGAAACUAACAAAGUGAAAGAAAUAGAAGGUUUAUACUUGUUAGACGUUCGUUAAUCUUAGAGUCGUUAGUCUUAGAUUUAAUUAGGCAAUGAAACAAUGUGUUGUAAUUUUAAUAAGGAAACUCUAAAAUAAUUUAAAUCAUAGACUCAGAAAGGCAUAAACAACAUGUGUCAUUAUCUUAUACAAAAUUUAAGAAAGAUUAGAAUAUGAGAGGAUCCAAAUCCCUUUGUCUAUUAUAAUUCUCUACUUAUUCAAAGUUACUGUCAACAUUUAUUAUAAGGUUUCAAUUAAAAUGCUUAAACAAAAUUGAUUUUCAAGCAAAUAAACACCUGCUAUUCUAGGAACAAGCGCACCGUGGUCCAGGUAAAAUACUAGGAGUGAUAACUAGAAAAAUGACAUGAAUAUAAAUCACACAUACCUUGGAGUCUGUUUUCGUCAAGAUAUAAAUACUUAAGCUUGGU